AACAAACAAACAAAUAAAUACAGAGGAACUGCAGCUGUUUUUCGCGACUAUUCGCAUUAAUGAUUAACAAAAAUCCCAACAGUGGACUUUCUCCUUCCACUUCCCCUCUAAAAUCUUACACACAUUCAGAGAAAAGCUUUAAACUUGAUCAAAUGGUCCAAACUUUGAGAUUUAAAGCAGUAAAAAGAGAAAAAGAAUCGGAUUAAAGGCUCCAGUUUGUUGAUUAGCUCCUGCUGCUAACUACAUUUACGUAGUUACGUAAAGUGCGUAGUGCGGUUUCGGUCGCGUUUACGCAGAAAAAUAAAAACAGUUUAUUUUAUAAUUGUAAUUUGUUUACCUCUAAAAUCGUACAAUGUAUUGAAUAAAACGCCACGAAAGCGGUUUCUGAAGGGGAAAAAGUUUCGAAGUGAAUCCUGGUAUCAGUGUUUAUGAGCAAAAAAACUAAAUAAAGAAUGAAAUGCUUUAUAUUUUGAUGUUUACACCUUAAUUAAAGAACCGAAUUAAUCUUUUGGAUAAUUAUUUCUAUAAUAACACCCACUCGUUUUCUUUCUGAUGAAGGAUUAAAGGAAAGAAGAAGAAAGGAGGAAGGAAGGAAAGACGGAUACAUGUAACAGUAAGAGGAAACAGGAGCUCCAGAGUUACAGAUUGUUGAAGGACACAAAAACUGAGAACUUACAGAGAGAAGGGGCGUUGAGAAAGCUGGAGGAUGAGGUUCCUGGCGGCUCUGAGCGACAGGAACACGAGGUGGAUCUCCAGCGAUGUGAGCAGGUCCACGUGUGCAUUCCUCAAGCAAAACAGAAUGGAUGAGCUGACAGGAAGUUUGUGUUAACUUCAAACAAUCACUCUGUACAAACAUGG